UCCAAGAGCUGCACUGGUCAGGCUUGCUUUCCUCCAAGACCAGGCCACUGAAUUCAGCAGGGUUCAGAGCCUUGGCUAAAUAAGAGCAAUUUCCUCCUGCCUGGGUUAACAAACUAUGACUUACUCCUUGCCUAAAUAGUUUGAAAAGGAAGGAAAUGAGAAGCUGAAAGGCAAUCCUUUGAGGGAGUGUGCUAUAAAUGAUAACGCUCCUUCAGGAGCACCCAGAAAUUUAGGGAGAUGACACGAGAGCAGCUCUUUUCCAGGUUUUGCCUGGAUCAGCAAGGGCUGGCUGUGCCUGGUGCUGAUUUUCCAGGCUGGGGCAGGGCAGGGCUGUCAGAGACAGGGUGGUUCAGGAGCAGUCCUUACAGCCAAGUUUCCCAACUCCCUCUGGCCCUCAGUGUCUUUUCCUGCCUGUUCUGCUUCCUCUGAAGAUCCCAAACGCUGGAGUGGCUCCAAUCCCUCCCACAGCCCCUCGAGGGCUGCUGCAGGCAGGAAAGCUGCUCUGAACUGACUUCCAAAUGAGAGUAAUUAAAGCAAAAAAGGCUUUUGUAGGGAAGAGCUCCCGGCUGGAUGGCUCAAGGGGAAGGGACUCUCCCAUCCCACCUGCUUGGGAUGUCCCCCUGGAGCUGCUGGAAAUGAUGUCCCAUGCCUUGCUAAUCCCCAGGGAGGUGAGAGCAGCCUGAAGCAAGACCUGGUGCCAUCAGGUCAGCCUGAAAAUCACCUGGAAAACUGCCACGGGAAGCCUGAAGCAAACCACUGGGAAUUCGAUCUGCAGGGAAAGGUGGGGAAGGAGGGGCCAAACCUGCAGGGAAUGGGAUUUAGGGAACUUGCUGUCUCCAUUACACCCUGUGCAUGCCCAGAGCUUGUUUGUCAGCAAUUAAGGCAGAGUCUUAAGCAGAGCUGGAGAACAGGAUUAAGUAAUUAACAGUAAUUAAAGGCACAUUAUCCAUGGAUGUGGUGUUGGGGCUGGAGUGAGGAAUUCAGGGUUAGACUUAACCCCUCCCUGCUCUGAACAGGCACAGAUCAGUCCCCUUUUGAGAUGGAGAGAGGGGGGAAAAGAAAAUAUCCGAGCCUUGUAGAGUUCCCUGUGUUAUUUUCCCAAUCAGACCUGAAGCUGCCAAGGUUCCUCUCACCCAAAAGGGCACCUUUUAAAGGAUUUUCCUUUUCAGAGUUGUGCUACACAGUGCAAAGCUCCCAGGCCUUCUCCUGCUGUUUCAGGUAAUAAAUCUCUUUAUUGAAGCUCUUCCUCUGCCAUGAGACCUCUCACAAGUUCUAUAUUUGCCCUUGCUAGGACUUUUCUAUGUAAAAAAAAAAAAAAAAAAAAAGAAAACCAAAUAAAUGUGUCAGGGCUUCUGGUUUCUGCCAGCAUCAGGAGGGGUUUGGAGAGUGAGUUAUUACAUUGGACUUGGAAGCUGGAUUUAUUUCUCCUGUGUUCCCAAGGACCAGUCUGUAGGGAAAAGCCAGCCUAGGAUCUGCAAGGAUGCAAAAGAAUAUAGGUUUAGGGGGACUUUGGGGAGAAAAGUAAUUUUUGUUUGGUUUCUUUUACCUGAUCUAGCGAUUGGAUCCACAGCGGAUUGAUUAGAGCAAAAGGGAGGACUCAGGAAGGUCUCACGUGAAUUAAUCCCCCUGGGAUAGUCAGGAAUAACUUUUCUGGGUAGGGCAAAGUCUCAGGAGCAGGGCUGAGGGGAAUGAGAGACAAACUCCUUUUGCAUGCUGCUCUCCCUCUGUUAUUAUCCACACAUAAAUUACCCACAUUCUUUGCAAGCCGGGUCUUGUCUUGGCUGAGGGAGCUCAGAUCACCAGAAAUGCACCAGUUUUCCUGCACAUUUCCUGACACAAGGAGUUCCAAGAGGGCAGGGGCUUGGGAGUAGGGGGGAAAUGGGAUAAGAUUUCUCCUGCUGCCAUUUCUGAGAGUUUCCUGGGAUUCCUGGGCUACCAGUACUGGAAAUUUGUGGUUACCCAGUGAGAAAACAGCCCCAGCAUGGAGAAUACCCCUUGUGCCCUUCCCAAAUUUCAUUAUAUACCUUAAAUAAUGCAAAAUUCCUUCCAAAAUUCCUGGUGAAAAGCCAUCUCAGAGCAAGCAUGAUCCAUCCCAGCAGGGUUGUCUCAGCAUUAUCCAAGGUUGCUGUGCCUCCUUUCUUGUUCCCCCUCACUAUGGCACUUUGCCACCAGCAUUUCCAUGAAAUGGCUCCCUUUUUGAUGAAUCCUUGGGGUUUUUUUAUUUUGUGGAUGGCCAGGGAAGAGCAGCACUGGCUGCUUUCCAAGCAGCUCCACUGCAGAUGCCAAGGUUUGCACAGGGGCCUCUCUCCCCCCCUGGUUAAUGGAUCACCAGGACAUGACCUGGCUGAGGCUGCUGGGAACAGGGGCUGGAUAAACACCCACUCCAUGGGCAGCAUUCCCACUUAAGGGCUUGGCAGAAAUUUGGGGUGCCCAGGCAAACAGGUGCCCCCAAAGCACCUCAUCCUCACCCCAAAAAAAGGAUCCCUGCCACCUCCAGCUGAGAGUCUGGGGGAUACCCUGAGUUUCUUAUCCCAGAGCAGAAAUAAUUUGGGACCCAACAAUAAUUUUGGAUCCAAUAACUUAACAGGGACAUGCAGAGGUCACAGAGAUCUGUGAUUGCCUCCACAAACACAUCCAUGGUGUGGGGAAAGGCAAAACCCAGCACAGGAUUGGAAAAGCUGUGGGCUGGAGAUGCCAACCACUAGGAGAAAUACAGAACUGUAGAACUAGAAAAGCUCUUUAAGAUCAUGGAGUCCAAAUACUCUGCCCAAAACUGCCAAGGUCAUCACUAAACCGUGUCCCCAAGUGUCACAUCCACACCUUAAAGCUCUUCUUCAAGAGGGGCAGAAGGAGCUAAGGGAAUAUUUGCAAUAUAUCCUUCCCUGUGUGUAAUUAUAUAUUUAUAUAUAUUUAUAUACCAGAACAUGGAUGGGAUAUAAACACCCAUAUAAAAAUAUACAUAAAUAUAUGUAAACCCCCUCACAUAUCCAGAACUUCUUUACCAGGAAUUACAAAUAAGGAACUUGAAUAUCUCAGCAGAUACAGCCCUACCUUCUCCCUCCCCUCUUCCCACAUCACUGUCUCCAUUAUCCAGCUAAAAAUAAAGGAGCCUUGAGCACCCAAGUCUCCCCUGGGCACCUGGAUGAUAAACAUCAAUCCCUGGUGUUAGCAACCCCUCCCCAGGGCUGGGAGCAGCAGCCCGUGUCUCUCUGCACCCAGAGGCUCCAGCCCCACGGUGUGAGAUGCGGGCGUUGCUCAUGGACCCCAAAUCCUCUUCUCCCAGGCUUUCCCUCAUCCAAAGCUAAGCCAGUCCUCAGAGGUUAGAAACCCUCAGGCCACAGUGCUAAAACUCCAGCAGGACUUUUCUUUUUUCCCCUCUCAGUCCUACCGAUGGGUUUAUGGCCCCCUCAUGCUCCAUAUGCACACAUCAGGACUUCCUCGCCAGCAAUAACGCUUGGAUUUCACCCACUGCACCCCAGCAGCUCCCUGAGACAGAGAAAAUGCUGAUGCUCAGGUGUAAUAAAUAGUUUUACCCCUCCCCCCUGCCUUGCUCUCACAGGAGAAGAAGGACAGGGCCCAGGUGGGUUGUUUGCCCUGCAGGAGGUUCUGCAGCCGAGGGACAAAUUCUCAGCUCUUUCGACUCUGCAUCCCAAUCCCAGAGAGGCCAGGCUGGGUGGGAAGAUGUUUGGUGGGAAGAUGUUUGGUGCUGGAAUCUGCAGGGAAAACUGGCACAGGAUGAUUUUAUACCAUCCUUGCCACCCCAUUCCCAGUCUGAGCUACCCUGGGGCUGCUGGAAGUCCCAGAAGGAACACAGCAGGUUCCAGGGCUGGGCUGAGGCAGCAGAAGUCUCCCCACCUCUCUGGGACCAUCAGGUGCUACCCCCUGGACAUUCCUGCAAGAGAAGGAAUGUCCAGAUGCACAGGGAAGGCUGAAGGCCAUUUGUUCUGGAGAUGAGCCUGUGGAUGGGGUACAACCAAGGGCAGGCUCCAAGGAGAAAUUCAGGAAGGAAU